AGAGUGAACGCUGGCGGCAGGCCUAACACAUGCAAGUCGAACGGCAGCACAGGAGAGCUUGCUCUCUGGGUGGCGAGUGGCGGACGGGUGAGGAAUACAUCGGAAUCUGCCUAUUUGUGGGGGAUAACGUAGGGAAACUUACGCUAAUACCGCAUACGACCUACGGGUGAAAGCGGAGGACCUUCGGGCUUCGCGCAGAUAGAUGAGCCGAUGUCGGAUUAGCUAGUUGGUGGGUAAAGGCCCACCAAGGCGACGAUCCGUAGCUGGUCUGAGAGGAUGAUCAGCCACACUGGAACUGAGACACGGUCCAGACUCCUACGGGAGGCAGCAGUGGGGAAUAUUGGACAAUGGGCGCAAGCCUGAUCCAGCCAUGCCGCGUGAGUGAAGAAGGUCUUCGGAUUGAAAGCACUUUAAGUGGGAGAAGGCAGUACUAAUACGUAUCUGUUUGACGUUACGACAGAAUAAGCACCGGCUAACU
rnacentral:rRNA from 1 species